UGGAAACAUCUCGAUUUGUGGCUCACAAUUGGUAAUUAUUUGGUACUUAAGAUAGGCGAUCGCCUGUAGGUGUCUUCCUUUAAAUUCGCAAAAAAAUGGACUACAACCGUGAUUUGAGAAAGCAAGUUCGAUAUAAUAGAAAUGCAGGCGUCGAUUGUAUUUGCACUUGCAGUAGGCUUAUCUUCAGCUGCGCACAACUGUAAAUAUAGGUACAGUUCCAGCACGGUGCCCAGUGUAGGUCAUCACAGUUCAGAUCUACUCUCACGGUACGUAGUGAACAGGCCACCAGUUUUUAAUCCGUUUUCCUAUCACGCACCUGCGAUAACUGGUUAUAAUGAUGAUAGUUUGGGCUAUUAUCAUCCGCGGAGUUAUUUUUAUGGAAGCAAUGGUGGUAUAGGUCCCUCUUUCCGUAUACUCAACACAGAAGAAGAAGACGGUAGUUCUCCAACCGAGAAGAAAAAGAAGUCAGUCUAACUACGAUCAAUGGUACAAUAGAGUAGUGUGUCAAAAUUAAAACUUAUUUGUUAAAAAUGGAGUUUGAUUAUGGUUAUCUCCCGUGAACUUGGCUUUACCUGGAUAGAGUGUGUCAACCAAUUUUAAAUGAUCUUUUCGUUUGCUCAACAAUUUAAGUGUAUUUUGGCAUUCAAAAUUUGAGCACGUGACUCACAUUAAAUACAUUCAUUGGGAUCGAA